GCCGGGCGGCUCCAUCCCGGGGCAGGGCUUGCCGGGGGGCCGGGGACCACACGGGGCUGCGCCCUGCCUCUCGCCUCUUGCCGUGGGAAACGUUUUGUUUCCGCUCACCGGAGGCCCCGUGUUUCCCUUGCUGGUCUGUGGGUUGGAUGUUGAACUAGUCCAGCCCUUCCCUCGGGGUCACUCCCGCUCUUCCCAGGCCCCAUGCUCCCCACCCACCAGUUCGGUUCAAAGCACUUCGCACAGCUCCCUCGAAAAUACGUUGUGAUGCCAGUGCUGCCACAGUGCACACGCGUGAGAUGACCUCAGCAUCUGCCUCUCCCUUAGGACGGAGCUCUCCGGAGCGUUGGAGUUUUAAUCGCCUUCCGUCAUUUGCUAUAAUUUCCGAGUUUUGCUUUGGUGGUGGCUUAAUAGACACCACAGUUUGUGUUUCCUGAAACCCAAACCUUGCUACCAGCUCCAAGAACAGGGUUGGGACUUCUAAAACAAUACAGAAAUGAGCAGGGAUCCUAGAAAUCUGUUUUCAACGGAAAAAUGCAGAAAAAUGCAGAAUUUGUUUUUUUACAGAUCCCAGCCAUCCUUGCUAUCAACGGCCAAAAGGCUGCAAAGAAUCAGGAAGCAUCCAUGAAGAACCAAAGAGGACCUGCUUCAUGAAGUCACGCAGCAGUCUCUUACU